GAGUUUGAUCAUGGCUCAGAUUGAACGCUGGCGGCAUGCCUUACACAUGCAAGUCGAACGGCAGCACGGGAGCAAUCCUGGUGGCGAGUGGCGAACGGGUGAGUAAUAUAUCGGAACGUGCCCAGUCGUGGGGGAUAACGCAGCGAAAGCUGUGCUAAUACCGCAUACGAUCUCUGGAUGAAAGCGGGGGACUCGCAAGAGCCUCGCGCGAUUGGAGCGGCCGAUAUCAGAUUAGCUAGUUGGCGGGGUAAAGGCCCACCAAGGCGACGAUCUGUAGCUGGUCUGAGAGGACGACCAGCCACACUGGAACUGAGACACGGUCCAGACUCCUACGGGAGGCAGCAGUGGGGAAUUUUGGACAAUGGGCGCAAGCCUGAUCCAGCAAUGCCGCGUGCAGGAUGAAGGCCUUCGGGUUGUAAACUGCUUUUGUACGGAACGAAACGGCGAGCUCUAAUAAAGCUUGCUAAUGACGGUACCGUAAGAAUAAGCACCGGCUAACUACGUGCCUGCAGCCGCGGUAAUACGUAGGGUGCGAGCGUUAAUCGGAAUUACUGGGCGUAAAGCGUGCGCAGGCGGUUAUAUAAGACAGAUGUGAAAUCCCCGGGCUCAACCUGGGACCUGCAUUUGUGACUGUAUAGCUAGAGUACGGUAGAGGGGGAUGGAAUUCCGCGUGUAGCAGUGAAUGCGUAGAUAUGCGGA
rnacentral:rRNA from 1 species